UGCAAUCUCAUGGGGUGCCCGACACGUCUUCGUUGGGCUGAGAGGCGGAAGCCAACCCAUAGAACCUGAUCCGGGUCAUGCCGGCGGAGGGAGAGAUGCGGGCGCCGC
rnacentral:ncRNA from 2 species